CACAGUUGUAUCUGGGAAGUAACCUACUUGCUUUUGAUUUUACAGGCUCAAUAGGCAGAAAGGACUUGCCUUGUCUCGUAUGACACUUUGGACUGUGGACUUUUGAGUUAAUGCUGAAAUGAGUCAAGAUUUGGGGGGACUUUUAGAAAGGCAUGAUUGGAUUUGAAAUGUGAGGACAUGAGAUUUGGGAGGGGCCAGGGGUAGAAUGAUAUGGUUUGACUGUGUCUCCACCCAAAUCUGGUCUAGAACUGUAAUAUUUCCCACAUGUCAAAGAUGACGGCCAUUGGAGAAAAUUGAAUCAUGGGGGAGGUUUCUCCCCUACUGUUCCCAUGAUAGUGAGUUCUCACAAAAUUUGAUGGUUUUAUAAACGGUAACUUCCAAGCACAAGCUUUCUUCUCAUUUCUGCUGCCAUUUUAGUCAUGCCUUUCACCUCCCACCGUGACUGUGAGGCCUCCCACCCACAUGGAACUGACUUACAGGUUGGAGGGCCUGAGAAGGUAUCUUGAUUGUGGGAAAAAGAGGAUUAAGUCAAAAGGAUUUACACCCAGCCUCAUCCUGUACUCUAAACAAUUAUUCAGCCAAAAAUGGGAAUAAACCAGUCUGAUCUCUCCGAUAUCUGAACCCUAGUGAUGUGCUGGCAUGAAUCUGGGGAGUGCUCCUUCUAUGAGACUGCAAUCACCCUGCAUUAUUCUGGGAAGGCUAUCUUUAGGUACAUCCACACUACGUUCCCAUUGGAGAAGCCCCAGUUGUGUCUCCAGUGGUGUAUCAGGGGGCAAGAAGGACUCCUUCUUUAAUACGCUUCAUGAUUGUGGAGGACACCUGCUCAUUUGGACAUCUACUGGGGCUAUCAGACUGUAGGCUGGUGAUGGGAAAUGACUGCAAGGGAUCCAGUGAUGGAACAUAUCUUCAAGUCUCCUAGCAGAGGAUACCAGCACCUGCUCUAAUGGAGGUAGCAGAAGAGUGACGCAGACUGUGUGAGAUUCCUUGGUUUUAGAUAGGCUUAAUGUGCUGACUUUCUCAAAUGCUGAUUAUAAUAGUAGUGAACUUCUCAGGUGGAGAGGCUCAGGACCUCUGGUUUGCCAGAGUGUUACAGUCAGGGGUGAUAGCUGAGAUCACACAGGUAUUUUCUCCUUCCUGGGUGCAGUUAUUCUACAGAGAGUUGCUGUAAUGGCUUGUGUUGAUUGGUGAUAUGGUUUGGCUGUGUCCCACCAAAAUCUCAUCUUGAAUCGUAGUUCCUAUAAUCCUCACACAUCCUGGGAGGGACCAGGCAGAGAUAAUUGAAUCAUGGGGGUGGUUUUCCCAAUCCUGUUCUCAUGAUAGUAAGUUAGGUUUCAUGAAAACUAAUGAUUUCAUAAGGGGUUCCCCCCUUCCCUGAGCAUUUAUUCUUCUUCCUGCUGCCAUAUGAAGAAAGGCAUGUUUGCUUCCCCUUCCAUCAUGAUUGUAAGAUUCCUGAGGCCUCCCCAGCCAUGCAGAACUGUGAGUCAAUUAAACCUUUUCCUUUAUAAAUUACCCAGUCUUGGGCAUGUAUUUAUUAGCAGCGUGAGAACAAACUAAUACAGUAAAUUGAUACCAGUAAAGUGGGGUGCUGCUAUAAGGAUACCCAAAACUGUGGAAGCAACUUUGGAACUGAGUAACAGGCAGAAGUUGGAACAGUUUGGAGGCCUCAGAAGAACACAGGAAGAUGUGGGAAAGUGUGGAACUUACUAGAGACUUGUUGAAAGGCUUUAACCAAAAUGCUGAUAGUGAUAUGGACAAGGAAGUCCAGGCUGAGACUUGUUGGGAACUGGAGUAAAGGUCACUCUUGCUAUGCAAAAAGACUGGUGGCAUUUUGCAUAUGCCCUAGAGAUCUGUGGAACUUUGAACUUGAGAGAGAUGAUUUCGGGUUUGGUGGAAGAAAUUUUUAAGUGGCAAAGGCUUCAAAAGGAAGCAGACCAUAAAAGUUUGGAAAAUUUGCAGCUUCACGAUGUGAUAGAAAAGAAAAACCCAUUUUCUGAGGAUAAAUUCAAGCCAACUGCAGAAAUUUGUAUAAGUAACGAGGAGCAAAAUGUUAAUCACAAAGACAAUGAUGUCUCCAGGGCAUGUCAAAGACCUUCACAGCCACCCCUCCCAUUAGAGGCCAGAGGCCUAGCAGGAAAAAAUGAUUUUGUGGG